AACGAACGCUGGCGGCAUGCCUAACACAUGCAAGUCGAACGAGCCCUUCGGGGUUAGUGGCGCACGGGUGCGUAACGCGUGGGAAUCUGCCCUUGGGUUCGGAAUAACAGUGAGAAAUUACUGCUAAUACCGGCUGAUGUCUUCGGACCAAAGAUUUAUUGCCCAGGGAUGAGCCCGCGUAGGAUUAGCUAGUUGGUGGGGUAAUGGCCUACCAAGGCGACGAUCCUUAGCUGGUCUGAGAGGAUGAUCAGCCACACUGGGACUGAGGCACGGCCCAGACUCCUACGGGAGGCAACAGUGGGGAAUAUUGGACAGUGGGCGCAAGCCUGAUCCAGCAAUGCCGCGUGAGUGAUGAAGGCCUUAGGGUUGUAAAGCUCUUUUACCCGGGAUGAUAAUUACAGUACCGGGAGAAUAAGCUCCGGCUAACUCCGUGCCAGCAGCCGCGGUAA
rnacentral:rRNA from 1 species